rnacentral:lncRNA from 1 species
AUCCAAUCCCACGUGGAACCUGUCCUAAGAGCGGUUUUCGAGACAAAAACUGAUCAUUCUGUGGAUCCGAGAUAGAACUCCGGUCCUGCAACUCCUUCCCUUGAUAGCCUUGAGUUGUUGGUUACACCGCACCGGAAAAGCACUCUCUGGGAAAUCCGGAUCUUUCUCAGCAGGGACAGUACCAAGGAUAUCAGGGUUAGAUAGCUUUUUUUUCUCUGGCAGUCUAAAAUCUUUCCAAUCAAUCGGG